UACGUAGGGGGCAAGCGUUGUCCGGAAUCAUUGGGCGUAAAGAGCGUGUAGGCGGUCCGGUCAGUCGGUUGUAAAAGUCAAGGGCUCAACCCUUGAAUGCCGGCCGAUACUGCCGGGCUAGAGUCCGGAAGAGGUGAGUGGAAUUCCUGGUGUAGCGGUGAAAUGCGCAGAUAUCAGGAGGAACACCGAUGGCGAAGGCAGCUCACUGGGACGGUACUGACGCUGAGACGCGAAAGCGUGGGGAGCAAACAGG
rnacentral:rRNA from 1 species